AGAGUUUGAUUCUGGCUCAGAACGAACACUGGCGGCGUGCUUAAUACAUGCAAGUCGAACGGGAAAGCAUCUUUCGAGGUGUUAGUAUAGUGGCGAACGGGUGAGUAACGCGUUAACAAUCUGCCUUUCAGUUGGGGAUAACCUUACUAACGUGGGGAUAAUACCGAAUGGCAUUUUUCUGUUGCAUGACAGAGAGAUAAAAUGGGCUUCGGUCUCGCUGAGAGAUGAGUUUGCGUUCUAUUAGUUAGUUGGUGAGGUAAUGGCUCACCAAGACGAUGAUAGAUAGCCAGCCUGAGAGGGCGAUCGGCCACAUUGGGACUGAGAUACGGCCCAGACUCCUACGGGAGGCAGCAGUAGGGAAUUUUGCGCAAUGGGCGAAAGUCUGACGCAGCAACGCCGUGUGAGUGAUGAAGGUCUUAGGAUUGUAAAGCUCUGUCAGUAGGGAAGAAUGUACCAAGGUAAUGCUUGUGUAUUGACGGUACCUACAGAGGAAGCUCCGGCUAACUCCGUGCCAGCAGCCGCGGUAAUACGGGGGGAGCUAGUGUUGUUCGGAUUUAUUGGGCGUAAAGAGAACGUACGCGGAAAUUUAAGUCAGAGGUGAAAAUUCGGGGCUCAACCCUGAACCUGCCUUUGGUACUGAAUUUCUUGAGUAUGGAAGAGGAUGAUGGAAUUCCUGGUGUAGCGGUGGAAUGCGUAGAUAUCAGGAGGAACACCAAUAGCGAAGGCAGUCAUCUGGUACAAUACUGACGCUGAGGUUCGAAAGCGUGGGGAGCGAACAGGAUUAGAUACCCUGGUAGUCCACGCCGUAAACGAUGGAUACUAGAUAUUGGAGGCGUUAAUCCCUUCAGUGUCAAAGCUAACGCAUUAAGUAUCCCGCCUGGGGAGUACGGUCGCAAGGCUGAAACUCAAAGAAAUUGACGGGGGCCCGCACAAGCGGUGGAGCAUGUGGUUUAAUUCGAUGAUACGCGAGGAACCUUACCUAGGUUUGACAUGGGGGUGAACGGUGCAGAGAUGUACUUUUUUCUUCGGAGACACCCUACACAGGUGCUGCAUGGUUGUCGUCAGCUCGUGUCGUGAGAUGUUGGGUUAAGUCCCGCAACGAGCGCAACCCCUGUCCUGUGUUACCAGCGGAUAAUGCCGGGGACUCACGGGAAACUGCCUCAUUUUUGAGGAGGAAGGUGGGGACGACGUCAAAUCAUCAUGGCCCUUACGCCUAGGGCUACACACGUGCUACAAUGGCCGGUACAAAGGGUUGCAAUAUCGCGAGAUGGAGCUAAUCUCAAAAAAACCGGUCUCAGUUCGGAUUGGAGUCUGCAAUUCGACUCCAUGAAGUUGGAAUCGCUAGUAAUCGCAGAUCAGCAAUGCUGCGGUGAAUACGUUAUCGGGCCUUGUACACACCGCCCGUCAAGCCAUGAAAGCCGGGAGUACUCGAAGUGGUUGCCUGAACCUUAGGGAGGGCGCUCCUAAAGUAAUACUGGUAAUUGGGGCUAAGUCGUAACAAGGU
rnacentral:rRNA from 1 species